UACGGGGGGUGCAAACGUUGCUCGGAAUCAUUGGGCGUAAAGCGCACGUAGGCGGUUCGUUAUGUCGGAUGUGAAAGCCCUUGGCUUAACCGAGGAAGUGCAUCCGAAACUGGCGAGCUAGAGUACUAAAGAGGAUCGCGGAAUUCCCGGUGUAGAGGUGAAAUUCGUAGAUAUCGGGAGGAACACCGGUGGCGAAGGCGGCGAUCUGGGUAGAUACUGACGCUGAGGUGCGAAAGCGUGGGGAGCGAACCGG
rnacentral:rRNA from 1 species